rnacentral:rRNA from 1 species
GAUGAACGCUGGCGGCGUGCCUAAUACAUGCAAGUCGAGCGAACAGAUAAGGAGCUUGCUCCUUUGACGUUAGCGGCGGACGGGUGAGUAACACGUGGGUAACCUACCUAUAAGACUGGGAUAACUUCGGGAAACCGGAGCUAAUACCGGAUAACAUUUGGAACCGCAUGGUUCUAGAGUGAAAGAUGGUUUUGCUAUCACUUAUAGAUGGACCCGCGCCGUAUUAGCUAGUUGGUAAGGUAACGGCUUACCAAGGCGACGAUACGUAGCCGACCUGAGAGGGUGAUCGGCCACACUGGAACUGAGACACGGUCCAGACUCCUACGGGAGGCAGCAGUAGGGAAUCUUCCGCAAUGGGCGAAAGCCUGACGGAGCAACGCCGCGUGAGUGAUGAAGGGUUUCGGCUCGUAAAACUCUGUUAUUAGGGAAGAACAAACGUGUAAGUAACUGUGCACGUCUUGACGGUACCUAAUCAGAAAGCCACGGCUAACUACGUG